AAGGCUUUAAGUUAAAUAAACUAAUAGCCUUCAAAGCUAUAAAUAUAAGAAUACUCUUUUAAGCCUUA
rnacentral:tRNA from 1 species